rnacentral:lncRNA from 1 species
CGCACGUUGCGGCAGGUUUGGGAUAGAACCACGACACUUCUGGUGCAGCAGAUUUCCUGGGCGAAGCGGUUGUUUUCUCCUACCCAAGUCUCUGUCUGGCCUGUUACAUUGCGUGGAGUGGAAGGGCGAGUUGGGCGAGUAUUUGCGGCAAUACACGGCACGGUACGCAAUCAAAAACGAACCACCGUACCCUCCUUUGUUGUUCAUAUUUUGUACGUUUCCUAGACUCUAAAAACAGAAAACAGGGGAUUGUGCAUAUGUUUGAUUUGGCGGGUGUCUUGGAAUCCAGAUGCAGCGCGCUUUCCACCAGCGUGUUACAGAGCUGGCUGGCUUUUCCUCCCACCCGCUCCCCACACACUGCAUUGCUGUCUUGGCUCUACACAAACGCCUGCCCCUGUAUCGCUCCUAUAUCUAGAAAUGCGGAAAAAUUGAAUCCACGUCAUGAACCCCUCCUUAAGCCUAAGUACUUC